rnacentral:tRNA from 1 species
GAUUAAAAAGCGAAGUAUUGCACUUAGUUUCGGCCUAAGGUUUGAUCUAAUGUAGGUCUUUAAUCU